rnacentral:rRNA from 1 species
ACUAGAAUGAAUGGCUAAAUGAAGACUAGACUGUCUCUUGUAGACCACCUAUGAAACUGAUCUUUUAGUCAAAAAGCUAAAAUUUACCCACAAGACGAGAAGACCCUGUGGAGCUUAAAACCAGACUCAUACAAUGACCCCCUGGCUUUUAGUUGGGGCGACUUCGGAGUAUAAAAAACCCUCCGACACCGCCUAAUAGAUUAACAGAUCAAAAUGUACUUGGACCCAGUAGCUCAAAGCUAACUGAUCAAUGAACCAAGUUACCCCAGGGAUAACAGCGCCAUCCUCUUCUAGAGUUCCUAUCGACAAGGGGGCUUACGACCUCGAUGUUGGAUCAGGACCCCCUAAUAGUGCAGCCGCUAUUGAAG